UACGAAGGUCCCGAGCGUUUGUUUGGAAUCACUGGGCGUAAAGGGAGCGUAGGCGGCGCGGUAAGUCAGAUGUGAAAUCCCGGGGCUCAACCCCGGAACUGCAUCCGAUACUGCCGUGCUAGAGGAUUGGAGAGGUAGCUGGAAUUCUUGGUGUAGCAGUGAAAUGCGUGGAGAUCAAGAGGAACACUCGUGGCGAAAGCGAGCUACUGGACAAUAUCUGACGCUGAGGCUCGAAGGCCAGGGUAGCGAAAGGG
rnacentral:rRNA from 1 species